GUGGAACAUUCACUCACUACCCUGCCAAUAUUAACAAAAUCCUAUUCUGAGGAGGAAGAAAGAAUCCGUAAUCUCGCUGGCUUUUAUUUAUAGAUUUAUCAAACGAAUCACUUAUUUCCAUAUCCAUGUAUCCUAUUAUUUAAAAAGGUAAAAAUUACCAAAAAAAAAAAAAAAAACAUUCCCACAACCUUUUUAGUUAUACUUACUGGCAGAAAUCUGUUGCCAGAAUGAAAAAAGGGCACGUGUUACACAACUUGUAAAAUAAGCACUCACUAUACUACUGAGAAAACAUACAUUGCGUGUACCGGUCUGAACGAGAAAAAUCACGCGCCAACAUAGGAAGUUUUUCUUCAAAUAAACGUCUCUAUAAUUCCUCCAAUUCAAUGUUCCAAAAGAUAUUCAGCCCUGUCAUAGAGUUCGUCGUGGAAAACCUUCGAUAUUUUCAUAUUUCGACAACAGCUCACUUCAAUGUAAACAAAACAAUUUAGCAAGUUUUUUGACAAGUUAGUUGAAUUUUCAAAUUAAAUUGUAUUCGUUGACAUGUGCGGUUGUGUUGAUGGAGGAGGAAAGUAAGAGAAGCAAACGGAGUCUCAAAAUUGAGCGAAUAAUAUUGUGGGAUGCAAGCAACCCUCUCGAUAUGGACGAACCAAUGUAAAUGCUUGCCUUUUUGUUAAAGAAAAAGUUUACUUAAAUACGGUUUAAAAUAGCCUUAUCAAAAAUUACCGGUUAAAUAAAGCUGCCUUUAUAUACGUUUUGUCUUUAUUGAAGGCAGCGCUCAGCAAGAUCAUCAUCCAUGACCUCAGUUCUCCGGCUAUCGUCUUUUUUACGGUUUCUUGCAGAAGGAGGCUAUCAGCACGGAGUUGGCAAAUAUUUCGAAGUGCCAAUGGGGCAGUCGGCAUUUAGCUAUGUGCUAAAAGACGUAUUGACGCCACUACAAACACGAUUGUGUGCCAAGGGGGAAGUCUUAAUAGCAGUGCCAAUGAAAAACGGCAAAGCAAGAUGGAGUUCUAUCAAAUAUAUAGAUGUCUUGCAUCAUUUUGUGUGUGGAUGAGACGCACUUAAAAAUUAUUUCCCCAAUAAAGAAAAAUUCCUCUACUACAACCGGAAGGGCUACUACAGUAUCAAUGACAUGAUUAUAUUUGACAAUACCAUAAAAUGAGAAUCUGCUACUUGAACGCGCAAUAUUCCGGGAGCAACCACCAACCUCAUAUAUGGAAUGUGAGCUAUGGGAGAUCCUUUUUUGAGAGGAAAUAUCUAGAAGGGGAACGAAAUACUUGGAUACUAGGAUACGUUGGAUACGCCUUGGAACUUUGGCUGAUAACACGUUUUCGUCCAAAUUUUAACACAAAACUUUUGUGGUCUUCAAUAAAAU